rnacentral:rRNA from 1 species
AGGAAUAUUGGUCAAUGGACGAGAGUCUGAACCAGCCAAGUAGCGUGAAGGAUGACUGCCCUAUGGGUUGUAAACUUCUUUUAUACGGGAAUAAAGUGAGGCACGUGUGCCUUUUUGUAUGUACCGUAUGAAUAAGGAUCGGCUAACUCCGUGCCAGCAGCCGCGGUAAUACGGAGGAUCCGAGCGUUAUCCGGAUUUAUUGGGUUUAAAGGGAGCGUAGGCGGACGCUUAAGUCAGUUGUGAAAGUUUGCGGCUCAACCGUAAAAUUGCAGUUGAUACUGGGUGUCUUGAGUACAGUAGAGGCAGGCGGAAUUCGUGGUGUAGCGGUGAAAUGCUUAGAUAUCACGAAGAACUCCGAUUGCGAAGGCAGCUUGCUGGACUGUAACUGACGCUGAUGCUCGAAAGUGUGGGUAUCAAACAGGAUUAGAUACCCUGGUAGUCCACACGGUAAACGAUGGAUACUCGCUGUUGGCGAUAGACUGUCAGCGGCUUAGCGAAAGCGUUAAGUAUCCCACCUGGGGAGUACGCCGGCAACGGUGAAACUCAAAGGAAUUGACGGGGGCCCGCACAAGCGGAGGAACAUGUGGUUUAAUUCGAUGAUACGCGAGGAACCUUACCCGGGCUUGAAUUGCAGACGAAUUGCUUGGAAACAGGCAAGCCGCAAGGCGUCUGUGAAGGUGCUGCAUGGUUGUCGUCAGCUCGUGCCGUGAGGUGUCGGCUUAAGUGCCAUAACGAGCGCAACCCUCGUGUCCAGUUACUAGCAGGUUAUGCUGAGGACUCUGGACAGACUGCCAUCGUAAGAUGUGAGGAAGGUGGGGAUGACGUCAAAUCAGCACGGCCCUUACGUCCGGGGCUACACACGUGUUACAAUGGGGGGUACAGCAGGCAGCUACCGGGCGACCGGAUGCCAAUCCCGAAAGCCUCUCUCAGUUCGGACUGGAGUCUGCAACCCGACUCCACGAAGCUGGAUUCGCUAGUAAUCGCGCAUCAGCCACGGCGCGGUGAAUACGUUCCCG